CUUGGUCAUUUAGAGGAAGUAAAAGUCGUAACAAGGUUUCGUUGAGAGAUCCUUCUCGGAAGCCUCCUCGCACGGCGACUAUAACUCCGUGUGCAGUCUAGCAAUAGGCGACGUCGCCCCUGUGCUGGAACGUUGCGGUCCCCGUAACAGACCAGCAGCCAGGUCCGUCCUGGUCCACAGAUUAGGUGGUGGCGGUCCCCAGCUCCCGCUGGCGGAUCAAGAUAUAAUCGGUCCCCUUCGCCCGCGAAGUUGGCUGAGAGACGUUCCGUAGGUGAACCUGCGGAAGGAUCAUUAUCGAGUUAGGGUCUUCUGGGCCCCAUCUCCAACCCUUGUCUAUAUUACCACGUUGCUUUGGCGGGCCCGUCCUUGACCGGACCGCCGGGGAUUUUACGUCCCUGGCCCGUGCCCGCCAAUAGCCCCUACAAAUUCUUUGAACAGUGAUGUCUAAGUCUAAGAUAAAUAACUAAAACUUUCAACAACGGAUCUCUUGGUUCUGGCAUCGAUGAAGAACGCAGCGAAAUGCGAUAAGUAAUGCGAAUUGCAGAAUUCCGUGAGUCAUCGAAUCUUUGAACGCACAUUGCGCCCUUUGGUAUUCCGAAGGGCAUGCCUGUUCGAGCGUCAUUAUCAACCCUCAAGCCCGGCUUGCUGUUGGGUUCGCGCCGUCUAACCGCGGCGGACCCGAAAGAUAAUGGCAGAGCCCGUGUGGACCCUGGAUGCAGCGAGCUCUUCAGCACGCGUCGCGGCGGUCCUCCGGCUCGGUCUUAACCAACAUUUUCUCAGGUUGACCUCGGAUCAGNCAGGGAUACCCGCUGAACUUAAGCAUAUCAAUAAGCGGAGGA
rnacentral:rRNA from 1 species